rnacentral:tRNA from 3 species
AGACGUGUAGCUCAGUUGGUUAGAGUAUCUCGGUGACAUCGAGAGGGUCGGUGGUUCGAAUCCACUCACGUCUACCA